rnacentral:misc_RNA from 1 species
UGGCCACAGUCUUCACUAUUUUAAUCCCCCACAAGUUUCUAAAGCUGUAUAAAAUCACCAAAUAGUAAGAAGAAUGAAUAUGGAGAUGUAUCAUGGUACUGAAGGGUUUAAGGAAAGAUGUGUCUAAUAGCAGUGAAAAGGAUAACAUGUUUUCAGUAUUGCCACUUGCAUACUUGUUGAAGGGGGAGUUAGCCCUGUGCACUUGCUUGGCCUUUGUCACAGAGAUCUUGCCGACAGAUUAAGUCAAGAAUAGAAUGUCAAGGUGUGCUUAUCUGUAUAGUACAAAAACCUGAAUGCUGAUGAAGGUUCUCGGUGUGUAUGGUGGAGAUACAGGGAAAGCCAAGGGUGUCACUCAGUCAUGUGCAUGGAGUUGUAUUGAACCAACACCUCCUUAUACUGAUGGCUUGACAGUUCCUGGUGAUGGCUGCACCAUUGCACUGUGGCUCAGGAGGGUUGGUACACAGGUACUACAUGCCUGCUGCACUGCAAGGUGCAGAACAUCCUGCCAGUUCACCACCACAUCCUUCUCUUUGUUCAUCAUUCACUGCAAGGCAUUGAUUGUGCUCAUUGUUCCUUUGCAUCCUUCACCUUUGUUCUUAAGAAUAUUUUCCAUAGAAGCAAAUUAACGACAAGCCGACAAGCAAGGACCAGAAAGGUUGUGGUGCUGCUGCCACCAGUGUGACUGGUGCACUAGUGUGUGACUAGUGCAUAGGUGUGUGAGGGAGGAGGCUGCACCAUGCUGACUGGCCACACAAGCAGGGUGAGGACCAGGACAAGGAAAUUCAGCAGAUGACUGGCAGACUGGCAUCAUCAUCAUCAUUAUUACUGGCAUGGGGUCAUCAGGAGCAGCAUCCACACCUGUAGUACUGUCAUCAGUCAGCCAGCCUUAAUCAGUGUGCUCUCAUCUAACCUACCAGUAGAUGGCCAUGCGCUGAAAGGAGUUAUGAAGUGCUCGCCGCAGACCGUAACAUACUCCAGGGUUCAGAAAAAAUACCUUAAACACACGACAUACAUACUGGAUGCUCAAUGAGCCACAGGAUGUCCCCCCACAGUAUGUUUACAAACCACAGUCACUCACCACAGCCUCUCAGGGAAUACUGCCUCCCCUAUCCUUACUUUGAACACUUCUCUCACAAUAUGAUGGUUCUAUUUACAUGGUGAUCAAU